CAAUACCAUGCUGAAUAUACCGGUUCUCGUUAGAUCACCGAAGUCAAGCAUCAUUGGGCGCGGUCAGUACUUGGGUGGGUGACCACCUGGGAACACUGCGUGCCGUU